UACGUAGGGUGCAAGCGUUAAUCGGAAUUACUGGGCGUAAAGCGUGCGCAGGCGGUUAUAUAAGACAGAUGUGAAAUCCCCGGGCUCAACCUGGGACCUGCAUUUGUGACUGUAUAGCUAGAGUACGGUAGAGGGGGAUGGAAUUCCGCGUGUAGCAGUGAAAUGCGUAGAUAUGCGGAGGAACACCGAUGGCGAAGGCAAUCCCUUGGACCUGUACUGACGCUCAUGCACGAAAGCGUGGGGAGCAAACAGG
rnacentral:rRNA from 1 species